CUGUCCAACGUUAAUCGGGGCAGGGUGAGUCGACCCCUAAGGCGAGGCCGAAAGGCGUAGUCGAUGGGAAACGGGUUAAUAUUCCCGUACUUGGUGUUACUGCGAAGGGGGGACGGAGAAGGCUAUGUUGGCCGGGCGACGGUUGUCCCGGUUUAAGCGUGUAGGCUGGUUUUCCAGGCAAAUCCGGAAAAUCAAGGCUGAGGCGUGAUGACGAGGCACUACGGUGCUGAAGCAACAAAUGCCCUGCUUCCAGGAAAAGCCUCUAAGCAUCAGGUAACAUCAAAUCGUACCCCAAACCGACACAGGUGGUCAGGUAGAGAAUACCAAGGCGCUUGAGAGAACUCGGGUGAAGGAACUAGGCAAAAUGGUGCCGUAACUUCGGGAGAAGGCACGCUGACACGUAGGUGAAGUGAUUUACUCAUGGAGCUGAAGUCAGUCGAAGAUACCAGCUGGCUGCAACUGUUUAUUAAAAACACAGCACUGUGCAAACACGAAAGUGGACGUAUACGGUGUGACGCCUGCCCGGUGCCGGAAGGUUAAUUGAUGGGGUCAGCGCAAGCGAAGCUCCUGAUCGAAGCCCCGGUAAACGGCGGCCGUAACUAUAACGGUCCUAAGGUAGCGAAAUUCCUUGUCGGGUAAGUUCCGACCUGCACGAAUGGCGUAAUGAUGGCCAGGCUGUCUCCACCCGAGACUCAGUGAAAUUGAACUCGCUGUGAAGAUGCAGUGUACCCGCGGCAAGACGGAAAGACCCCGUGAACCUUUACUAUAGCUUGACACUGAACAUUGAGCCUUGAUGUGUAGGAUAGGUGGGAGGCUUUGAAGUGUGGACGCCAGUCUGCAUGGAGCCGACCUUGAAAUACCACCCUUUAAUGUUUGAUGUUCUAACGUGGACCCGUAAUCCGGGUUGCGGACAGUGUCUGGUGGGUAGUUUGACUGGGGCGGUCUCCUCCUAAAGAGUAACGGAGGAGCACGAAGGUUGGCUAAUCCUGGUCGGACAUCAGGAGGUUAGUGCAAUGGCAUAAGCCAGCUUGACUGCGAGCGUGACGGCGCGAGCAGGUGCGAAAGCAGGUCAUAGUGAUCCGGUGGUUCUGAAUGGAAGGGCCAUCGCUCAACGGAUAAAAGGUACUCCGGGGAUAACAGGCUGAUACCGCCCAAGAGUUCAUAUCGACGGCGGUGUUUGGCACCUCGAUGUCGGCUCAUCACAUCCUGGGGCUGAAGUAGGUCCCAAGGGUAUGGCUGUUCGCCAUUUAAAGUGGUACGCGAGCUGGGUUUAGAACGUCGUGAGACAGUUCGGUCCCUAUCUGCCGUGGGCGCUGGAGAACUGAGGGGGGCUGCUCCUAGUACGAGAGGACCGGAGUGGACGCAUCACUGGUGUUCGGGUUGUCAUGCCAAUGGCACUGCCCGGUAGCUAAAUGCGGAAGAGAUAAGUGCUGAAAGCAUCUAAGCACGAAACUUGCCCCGAGAUGAGUUCUCCCUGAGACUUAGAGUCUCCUGAAGGAACGUUGAAGACGACGACGUUGAUAGGCCGGGUGUGUAAGCGCAGCGAUGCGUUGAGCUAACCGGUACUAAUGAACCGUGAGG
rnacentral:rRNA from 1 species